UCUUAAAAUAGACUCUAAUUCACUCAAAAAUAUUCAGCUUUGAGCAGAAAGUUUAAGGGAUUCAAAGUGAGUUCUAACUCACUUCAUCAUCUAUUUUCUUCUUGUUUCUUUCUUCUUAACACUUGGAUAACCUCUAGGAAGGUUUUCACAAGUUUGCUUGGGCAAACUAAGGUGAAACCUCACCAUUUUUGAGGUCCAAAGUGCACAUAAAAUUCUGCUCGUUUUUAUUUAUUUUUAUGAUCACGUUUUGAUAGAAAACUUAGUGGAAUCUUGUUCCCACCAAGCUCACAACUUAGUCCAUGGUUGUGGGUUUGUGUUUAGGGGAUUUCCAUCAAAGUUUUGGGUUCAAACACCCAUUUAAUUUCUGUUUAAACUUGAUAAUCGAAUGAUGAAAACAAGCACAAGUCAUCAUUUUCUAUAUGAUGAACUUGUGACUUGUGAAGUGUGAACAAAUGGAGGCUUUGGCCUUCCAAACUAAGUUCCACUCCUUCAUUUGAACACUUUUAUGACUUGAUUAGAUUAGAUUUACUUUCUUGUUGUUCAUGACCCUCCCACCAUCUUCAUGACGGUGUGUGUAGUGGUGAAUCAUAUAAUGAGGUUUCAACCUCCAUGCUUGACAAUACAUGAUACUACAUGACAUUCUUUGAUUGGACAUAGUUUAGGUCAUAUUAUUACCUUAUAAAUAUACAUAUAAUUAUACAAUACAUGGCUGAAUUUGUGAUGGUAAUCAAGUUGUGAUUAUUCGUCAUAAACCUAGGCUAACAUAUCUAAGAUUCUAAGUUAUUUGUUAUGAUUCCAAUGGGCAAUUUGGGACCCAUGAAACCACUUAAUAUGGUGUCAUAAACGAGCUCUUAGAACUAGAUAAUAUUUUCAUAUACAUACUUUUGAUACUUUAAUUUCUAAAUCCCGAAUCUCACCACUUCCUAAAUAUCAAGAAACCUUGCCAAUAAAUCCUUAUUCUCUAACAACUCGCCACUCAUGGAUAAUCGGAAAGCAUAUGCAAUUUUGUUGAGGAUGAUGAUGCUAUGAAAAGAAGUAGCGUUGAUGCCUAGAUACGCAUAUAGACGUUUAGGUUUAAUAUGUUGUAUCAAUUUUGAUUAUGUUGUUAUGUAUUUCCUAUGAACUUGUUGUUAUUCGUAUUUCUUGUAUUGUUGACAAUUUACUUAUGAAAUGAAAUCGGUUUAUUAAA